ensembl:rRNA 5S_rRNA 5S ribosomal RNA
AACGCCAUACCAGGCUGGCAUGGGAUCCCAUGUCAUCUUACCAGCUUAGCAGGGUUGGGCUAGGUCAGCACUUGCCUAAGAGACCUCUCAGAGUACCUGGCUGGCGAUG